rnacentral:rRNA from 1 species
AUUAAACGCUGGCGGCAUGCCUUACACAUGCAAGUCGAACGGCAGCACGGGGGCAACCCUGGUGGCGAGUGGCGGACGGGUGAGUAAAGCAUCGGAACGUAUCCUGGAGUGGGGGAUAACGUAGCGAAAGUUACGCUAAUACCGCAUAUUCUGUGAGCAGGAAAGCAGGGGAUCGCAAGACCUUGCGCUCUGGGAGCGGCCGAUGUCGGAUUAGCUAGUUGGUGGGGUAAAGGCCUACCAAGGCGACGAUCCGUAGCGGGUCUGAGAGGAUGAUCCGCCACACUGGGACUGAGACACGGCCCAGACUCCUACGGGAGGCAGCAGUGGGGAAUUUUGGACAAUGGGCGCAAGCCUGAUCCAGCCAUGCCGCGUGAGUGAAGAAGGCCUUCGGGUUGUAAAGCUCUUUCGGCGGGGAAGAAAUUGCACGGGUUAAUACCCUGUGUAGAUGACGGUACCCGAAUAAGAAGCACCGGCUAACUACGUGCCAGCAGCCGCGGUAAUACGUAGGCUGCGAGCGUUAAUCGGAAUUACUGGGCGUAAAGCGUGCGCAGGCGGUUUGGUAAGUCAGAUGUGAAAUCCCCGGGCUCAACCUGGGAACUGCAUUUGAGACUGCCAGGCUGGAGUUUGGCAGAGGGGGGUGGAAUUCCACGUGUAGCAGUGAAAUGCGUAGAGAUGUGGAGGAACACCGAUGGCGAAGGCAGCCCCCUGGGCCAAUACUGACGCUCAUGCACGAAAGCGUGGGGAGCAACAGGAUUAGAUACCCUGGUAGUCCACGCCCUAAACGAUGUCAACUAGGUGUUGGGAGGGUUAAACCUUUUAGUGCCGUAGCUAACGCGUGAAGUUGACCGCCUGGGGAGUACGGCCGCAAGGCUAAAACUCAAAGGAAUUGACGGGGACCCGCACAAGCGGUGGAUGAUGUGGAUUAAUUCGAUGCAACGCGAAAAACCUUACCUACCCUUGACAUGUCAGGAAUCCUGAAGAGAUUUGGGAGUGCUCGCAAGAGAGCCUGAACACAGGUGCUGCAUGGCUGUCGUCAGCUCGUGUCGUGAGAUGUUGGGUUAAGUCCCGCAACGAGCGCAACCCUUGUUAUUAAUUGCCAUCAUUUAGUUGGGCACUUUAAUGAGACUGCCGGUGACAAACCGGAGGAAGGUGGGGAUGACGUCAAGUCCUCAUGGCCCUUAUGGGUAGGGCUUCACACGUCAUACAAUGGUCGGUCCAGAGGGUUGCCAACCCGCGAGGGGGAGCCAAUCUCAGAAAGCCGAUCGUAGUCCGGAUCGCAGUCUGCAACUCGACUGCGUGAGGUCGGAAUCGCUAGUAAUCGCGGAUCAGCAUGUCGCGGUGAAUACGUUCCCGGGUCUUGUACACACCGCCCGUCACACCAUGGGAGCGGGUUCUGCCAGAAGUAGUUAGCCUAACCGCAAGGAGGGCGAUUACCACGGCAGGGUUCGUGACUGGGGUGAA